rnacentral:lncRNA from 1 species
UUCAUAGAUAAAUAAAACAUGGGUCGUAUCACUUAUUUACUAAGACCAAUAUACUUAUAAUUCCAAAACUAGUACAUAUAUGACAGGUUCUUCACUCUCUUUAUUUCAUUUCAGAACGACAGAUAUUGUUUCUGUGGACAAUACUGACUUCCAUUAUAAAGUGGUAAAAGGCACAUUAAAUGAACUGCGUCAUUAAGACAGAACCAUUUUUUU